GUGAGGAAUAUUGCGCAAUGCCCGCAAGGGUGACGCAGCAACGCCGCGUGUGGGAUGAAGGUCUUUUAGGUCGUAAACCACUGUAGAAGGGAAAAAAUAUCCCGAUUGUCGGGAUUGAUGGUACCCUUAAAGUAAGCCUCGGCUAACUACGUGCCAGCAGCCGCGGUAAUACGUAGGAGGCGAGCGUUGUCCGGAUUCACUGGGUGUAAAGGGUCCGCAGGCGGAUAGGUAAGUCGGUGGUGAAAUCCUUCAGCUUAACUGAAGAACUGCCUCCGAUACUGUCUAUCUUGAGUACAGAAGAGGGCGAUGGAAUUCCAGGUGUAGCGGUGAAAUGCGUAGAUAUCUGGAAGAACACCGGUUGCGAAGGCUGUUGCCUGGUCUGUUACUGACGCUCAUGGACGAAAGCGUGGGGAUCAAACAGGAUUAGAUACCCUAGUAGUCC
rnacentral:rRNA from 1 species